AACGAACGCUGGCGGCGUGCCUAACACAUGCAAGUCGAGCGGGGUCCAUCCAGUGGCAACACUGGUGAAGACCUAGCGGCGAACGGGUGAGUAACACGUGAGAAACCUGCCCUGAACUCUGGGAUAACCCGAGGAAACUCGAGCUAAUACCGGAUGCCCCCACCGGGUCGCAUGGCCUGGUGAGGAAAGAUUCAUCGGUUCAGGAGGGUCUCGCGGCCUAUCAGCUAGUUGGCGGGGUAACGGCCCACCAAGGCAUCGACGGGUAGCUGGUCUGAGAGGACGAUCAGCCACACUGGGACUGAGACACGGCCCAGACUCCUACGGGAGGCAGCAGUGGGGAAUAUUGCGCAAUGGGCGAAAGCCUGACGCAGCAACGCCGCGUGCGGGAUGAAGGCCUUCGGGUUGUAAACCGCUUUCAGUGGGGACGAAAUCAGACGGUACCCACAGAAGAAGCCCCGGCCAACUACGUGCCAGCAGCCGCCGUAAAAC
rnacentral:rRNA from 1 species